GCUUAGUUUUUCCUUGGGGCUGGCCAGAUUGGAGCAAUCUCAAGAUUAAUCAGCCGAAAUUACAAGGAUGAUCCAGUUCUUGACUGAAGAUUGAAGGCUUCGAAUGACCCAUCCGUAUUUGUUGUAUCGUCUUCUGAAUGUUUUGCAUUCUUGUCCCAUUUUGUAUUUUAUAUAUAUAUAUAUAUAUAUAUAUAUAUACACACACAUGUAUGUAUAUGUGCAGAUAUAUGUAUACACACACACACAUAUGCAUACAUAUUUACAACAGUACUCACUGAUGUGUGUCUAUAUAUACAUGCAUACAUGCAUGUGUAUGAUUCUGUUUGCAUAUAUGUGGUACAUGUUGAAUACAUUAAAAUUUAUUAUAAAACUUAUGAG
rnacentral:lncRNA from 1 species